rnacentral:rRNA from 1 species
AUUGCAAAGUUUUCGCGCCCGCCGGCCCCGCGCCCGUCCCGCCGCCCCCGCCCGCCCUACGGGGCGCAGCAGGCGCGAAAACUUUGCAAUGCGGGAAACCGUGACAAGGGAACUCUGAGUGCCCGUUAAAUCGGGCUGUCCAUCGGUUUAAAUAACCGGUGAAGAAAGGGCCGGGCAAGACCGGUGCCAGCCGCCGCGGUAAUACCGGCGGCUCGAGUGGUGGCCACUAUUACUGGGCUUAAAGCGUUCGUAGCUGGUUUGUUAAGUC